CCUACGGGAGGCAGCAGUGAGGAAUAUUGGUCAAUGGACGAGAGUCUGAACCAGCCAAGCAGCGUGAAGGAUGACUGCCCUAUGGGUUGUAAACUUCUUUUAUAUGGGAAUAAAAUGUUCCACGUGUGGGUUUUUGUAUGUACCAUAUGAAUAAGGAUCGGCUAACUCCGUGCCAGCAGCCGCGGUAAUACGGAGGAUCCGAGCGUUAUCCGGAUUUAUUUGGUUUAAGGGGCGCGUAGGUGGAUUGAUAAGUCAGUUGUGAAAGUUUGAGGCUCAACUGUCAAAUUGCAUUUGAAACUGGCAGUCUUGAGUACAGUAGAGGUAGGCGGAAUGCGUGGUGUAGCGGUGAAAUGCUUAGAUAUCACGAAGAACUCCGAUUGCGAAGGCAGCUCACUGGACUGCAACUGACACUGAGGCUCGAAAGUGUGGGUAUCAAACAGGAUUAGAUACCCUGGUAGUC
rnacentral:rRNA from 1 species